rnacentral:sRNA from 1 species
AAGCACAAAGGAGAGCCGUGGCUCUCCUCCAAUGUGUUUUACCUGCUCUUUUUAUUGUUAUAGGGCGGCCUGUUAUUGUUGUUGGCGACCUGUCCCUUUACAGCGUUUUUGUGCGACCCCCAAUCAGGGUCAAGAGCAAACGUAUUUUUUUGAGCGCUGAUCCACUUUAAUCAUCUGUCUGCACAACAGCUUGAUCCCACCGGUUCUGGAGCUACCUGACGGUAGUU